GGUUGACCUCGGAUCAGGUAGGAAUACCCGCUGAACUUAAGCAUAUCAAUA
rnacentral:rRNA from 22 species